rnacentral:rRNA from 1 species
AACGCCGCGUGAGUGAAGACAGCCUUCGGGUUGUAAAGCUCUGUCCUUAGGGAAGAAUAGCAUAGGCAGGAAAUGGUCUAUGUGUGACGGUACCUGAGGAGGAAGCCCUGGCUAACUACGUGCCAGCAACUGCGGUGACUGAGCGGGCUGGCAAGGCGCAUA